GCUUGUCUCAAAGAUUAAGCCAUGCAUGUCUAAGUAUAACUCUUUUACUUUGAAAACUGCGAACGGCUCAUUAUAUCAGUUAUAGUUUCUUUGAUAGUCCCUUACUACUUGGAUACCCGUAGUAAUUCUAGAGCUAAUACAUGCUAAAAACCCCGACUUCGGAAGGGGUGUAUUUAUUAGAUACAAAACCAAUGCCCUUCGGGGCUCCUUGGUGAUUCAUGAUAACUAUACGAAUCGCACGGCCUUGCGCCGGCGAUGGUUCAUUCAAAUUUCUUCCCUAUCAACUUUCGAUGUUUGGGUAUUGGCCAAACAUGGUUGCAACGGGUAACGGAGGGUUAGGGCUCGACCCCGGAGAAGGAGCCUGAGAAACGGCUACUACAUCCAAGGAAGGCAGCAGG
rnacentral:rRNA from 1 species